UUGAUGCCGGAGGCGAAACACGUGAGCCUGCGUUAGCGUCGGGGUGGUAACGAUCGGAGCGGAGGGUGGUCCAUUUGCCGGGACGAAGUAGUUCGAGACUGGGACGAAGAAGAGGAUUGAGGCCAGAGAAAGAAGAGGUAUAAGGUUAGACAAGAUUAUCAUGUAGUUAGGUUCGUUGAUAAAAGUCUAGUUAAUUCCUUAGUUAGAAUGCUACCGACUACGAGUUACGUCGCCUCCUAAUGUCCACAUAACAGCCAUCAAAGUUAAAUUAGCCCACCAGCAGUAGUGGCACUCCGGCGGCUACAAAAACAUUGGGGGAUUCAAACUACAAAAUUUCAGUCUCAAUCACUUCAAACCAACGAAUAUCGAUCUGCUCACUCGAAUUUUCAUCUGAAUAACAACACCAACAAGUUUUCAAAAACAAAGACAAGAACAACAGAUACGGGAAAUGUGUAACUGACUACAAACAAAGACGGUAGACUUUUUCGGAAAAGAUGGUGUCACAAUAGGGAGCCGCAGUAAGAGUUGUUCGUGGUCCUGUACCGAAACAAAGACGGUUUCGUAUGUCUUCCUCCUCUCUCGUCGUCGUUCUCUCCUCUUCAAUUCUUGUUCUGUGUACGAAGUCUAAUUGAGGAUAAAGACUUGGUUAUACGAAAACUACUAACUUAAUCUAAUUUUUCCAGAUGUAAAGAAGUCUAAUUGUCUAAGUUUAUCAUACUAAAGCCUUACGUUUAUUAAGAAGGUAUACAAACUGAUGUUACACAACAGCACGUUUAUACGUCUUCCUACUGGAGCCAAAACCCCUGAACCAAAACACUUAGCCACACAAUAUAACUGGUUUAUAGAAUCAUAAACAUGUUACGCCGUUAUACCUAUCUGAACAGCGACGAAAAUGACCUAACUAUAUAGUAUAACAUACAUAUUAAUAAGUUAUGUAUAUAUGAAC
rnacentral:rRNA from 1 species